rnacentral:rRNA from 1 species
UACGUAGGUGGCGAGCGUUAUCCGGAUUUAUUGGGUUUAAAGGGAGCGUAGGCGGCUGAUUAAGUCAGUGGUUAAAGGUAGCAGCUUAACUGUUUUACAUGCCAUUGAUACUGGUUAGCUUGAGUUGACGGAAGGCAGAUAGAAUUUCUGGUGUAGCGGUGAAAUGCUUAGAUACCAGAAGGAAUACCGAUUGCGAAGGCAGUCUGCUGCAGUCACACUGACGCUGAGGCUCGAAGGUGCGGGGAUCAAACAGG